ACCUAGUAGUAUGGGAUAGCCACUAGAAAUGGUGGGUAAUACUGUAUAAUCCCUGCGGGGGAAAGAUUUAUCGCUAUUAGAUGAGCCUAUGUCAGAUUAGCUAGUUGGUGGGGUAAUGGCCUACCAAGGCGGUGAUCUGUAGCUGGUCUGAGAGGAUGAUCAGCCACACUGGAACUGAGACACGGUCCAGACUCCUACGGGAGGCAGCAGUGGGGAAUAUUGGACAAUGGGCGCAAGCCUGAUCCAGCUAUGCCGCGUGAGUGAGGAAGGCCUUAGGGUUGUAAAACUCUUUCAGUAGGGAAGAUAAUGACGGUACCUACAGAAGAAGUCCCGGCAAACUCCGUGCCAGCAGCCGCGGUAAUACGGAGGGGGCAAGCGUUGUUCGGAAUUAUUGGGCGUAAAGGGCAUGUAGGCGGUUUGGUAAGUUAAAGGUGAAAUACCAGGGCUUAACCCUGGGGCUGCUUUUAAUACUGCAGGACUAGAGUCCGGAAGAGGAU
rnacentral:rRNA from 1 species